ACAGAUUAUUGUUUCUGACUGAUUGCCCACUGAAGCUAAGCAGGGUUGAGCCUGGUCAGUACCUGGAUGGGAGACCUCCUGGGAAAACUAGGUUGCUGCU
rnacentral:rRNA from 1 species